UGAAACGGAUAAGACCGCAGCGGAGCUCUCGGUGAACGGCACAUCCGGGACCUUCGGCGCUCAGGACAUCCACCGCAUGAGAUGUUUGCAGGUUGAGGAGUAAAUGGCCAAGAAAAGAGCAUGUCAGAAAGAAGAGCCAGACUUCGUCCUGAGGCUGAGGCUACUCAGUUUGUUUUAUCUGGAGGUGACAAGCCUUGUUUAAAGGUCCAGUGGAUCAAUGACUAUAAAGGACGUGGUGUAUUUGCCUGUGCACCAAUUGAAAAGGGAUCCUUUGUGGUCGAGUACCGUGGGGAGUUGAUCUCACCAUGUGAACGGGACAAGCGGCAGAAAAAGUACACAGAGAAGCAAAAUGCUUUCCUGUUUGAUUUUAAAUGGAACAAUAGCUCAUGGUGCAUUGAUGCUUCCCGUGAAGACGACUCACUGGGCCGGCUGGUUAAUGAUGGCCACAAGUCCUCAAACUGCAAAGUGAAAAAAAUGACAGUCCAGGGUAAACCUCAUCUUUGCUUGUUUGCUAUUGAAGAAAUCCAAGCAGAGAGUGAAAUAACCUAUGACUAUGGAAAAUCUCAGUGGCCAUGGCGA